rnacentral:rRNA from 1 species
AUUGAACGCUGGCGGCAGGCCUAACACAUGCAAGUCGAACGAGUGGCGGACGGGUGAGUAAUGUCUGGGACACUGCCCGAUGGAGGGGGAUAACUACUGGAAACGGUAGCUCAUACCGCAUCCCAUCGGAUGUGACCAGAUGGGAUUAGCUAGUAGGUGGGGUAACGGCUCACCGAGGCGACGAUCCCUAGCUGGUCUGAGAGGAUGACCAGCCACACGGGAACUGAGACACGGUCCAGACUCCUACGGGAGGCAGCAGUGGGGAAUAUUGCACAAGGGGCGCAAGCCGGAUGCAGCCAUACCGCGUGUAUGAAGAAGGCCGUCGGGUUGUAAAGUACUUUCAGCGAGGAGGCGUUACUCGAAGAAGAAGCACCGGCUAACUCCGUGCCAGCAGCCGCGGUAAUUC